rnacentral:rRNA from 1 species
GCGGCGGACGGGUGAGUAAUGCCUAGGAAUCUGCCUGGUAGUGGGGGACAACGUUUCGAAAGGAACGCUAAUACCGCAUACGUCCUACGGGAGAAAGCAGGGGACCUUCGGGCCUUGCGCUAUCAGAUGAGCCUAGGUCGGAUUAGCUAGUUGGUGAGGUAAUGGCUCACCAAGGCGACGAUCCGUAACUGGUCUGAGAGGAUGAUCAGUCACACUGGAACUGAGACACGGUCCAGACUCCUACGGGAGGCAGCAGUGGGGAAUAUUGGACAAUGGGCGAAAGCCUGAUCCAGCCAUGCCGCGUGUGUGAAGAAGGUCUUCGGAUUGUAAAGCACUUUAAGUUGGGAGGAAGGGCAGUAAGUCUAUACCUUGCUGUUUUGACGUUACCGACAGAAUAAGCACCGGCUAACUCUGUGCCAGCAGCCGCGGUAAUA